rnacentral:SRP_RNA from 1 species
GCUAGGCUCAGUGGCAUGCACCUGUAGUCCCAGCUACUUGGGAAGCUGGGUGGGAGGAUUAUUGAUUCUGGGAUUUCUGGGUUGUAGUGUGCUAGUGUGAUCGGGUAUGUGUGCUAAGUUUGGCAUCAACAUGGUGACCUUCUGGGAACGGGGGACCUCUAGGUUGCGUGAAGAGGGGUGAACCGGCCUGGGUGGGAAAUGGAGCAGGUCAAAAAACCUAGUGCCUAUCAGUUGUAGGAUUGUGCCUGUGAAUAGCUACUGCACUUCAGCCUGGGCAACAUAGUAAGACCCCAUCUCAU